AACGAACGCUGGCGGCAGGCUUAACACAUGCAAGUCGAACGCCUGUAGCAAUACAGGAGUGGCAGACGGGUGAGUAACGCGUGGGAACCUUCCCAAUGGUACGGAAUAGCUCAGGGAAACUUGAGGUAAUACCGUAUAAGCCCCUAGGGGGAAAGAUUUAUCGCCAUUGGAUGGGCCCGCGUCGGAUUAGCUAGUUGGUGAGGUAAUGGCUCACCAAGGCGACGAUCCGUAGCUGGUUUGAGAGAAUGACCAGCCACACUGGGACUGAGACACGGCCCAGACUCCUACGGGAGGCGGCAGUGGGGAAUCUUGGACAAUGGGCGCAAGCCUGAUCCAGCCAUGCCGCGUGAGUGACGAAGGCCUUAGGGUUGUAAAGCUCUUUUGCCGGGGACGAUAAUGACGGUACCCGGAGAAUAAGUCCCGGCUAACUUCGUGCCAGCCGCCGCCGUAA
rnacentral:rRNA from 1 species